rnacentral:lncRNA from 1 species
UGGGUCACACUAAGCCUUACUUUUAUAUAGCCAACGCUCGUAUUUUAGUACUAUCUUUUAAGUCACACCAAUGAUGUUUGAGCAUAUAAAUUCUUAACACACAUUUUUACUAACUUUAGAGAAAUUUGGAGGAGAUUUGGAGGAGAAUCUAAUCUCAAUACAAGCCAGUUAAUAUUUGUGGGCUUGUUGUAGCCCUUACAGCUCUGUAUUUACUAAUAACCAAAAGAAAAUAUAGAAAAAUGGGCCUUGGGCUUUAGUGUUCAAUAUCCUCGUCUUCUCCUACUCCUGAAACUUUCUACCCAAGGACUUAAUUGCCUGCAAGCACCACCUUUACAGAAGUGAAAAUAGGAAGGGAAAGGUUGGGGUCUCACAGGAAGAGAAAACCUAGGGCCAGGUGUCCCCUGCUGUCACCAAGUCUGCGAGAUUGACUGCAGCAACUGCCCUCUUCACUGGUGGCACGAAAGCAAACUGGUUAGCUAAGAAGAGAGUGAGUAACCAAAACAGGCUUGGAAGGAGCUAUUUCUGGAAAACAAAUAUUUUUCUUAAGCUAUAUUUUAAACCUUGUGUGUGUGUGUGUGUGUGUGUGUGUGUGUGUGUGUGUGUGUACACAAAUAUGGAUGAACUACAUGAAGGUAAGAGGACAAAGUGUGGGAGUUGAUUCUCUCCAUCCAACAUGUGGACCCCAGGGAUAGAACUCCAAUUAACAGGUUUGGCAGUAGCCACACUUACCCACUGAGCCAUUUUGUUAGCCUUUAAAUGGGUUCUUUCCACUUUGAACACACAAUGCUAUUUACUGCUCAAUCUUUUGAUAUUGUGGCAAAGCCUUUUACUGAAUAACUGCAGAUCUGCAUUGAUUUUCUUCCCUACAAAUGUAGCACAUUGUCAGUUUAGUCUGGUUCCUUAGUAUAUUUCAAAUAGUGAGAGGGUGUUUUAAACAACCAAGGAGCCACAUGAAUAAAAUAACUCAGACCCAGAUUAGAUUUUAAGUCCCUGAAGAGAAGUAAUUAUGUUUGUAACAGUUAAUUUUCCCAGACAAUGGGUAGAAAGAAGGAAAGCCUUAUAUCACACUGGCAACAACAACAAUCUGAAGUUGUGGCUAAAGUCCCUCUCCGUUGAGCCAUCUUGGAGAAGGCACAGUGUUCAGUGCUUCCUAACAGCCAUACAGGUGUGCAUUCUAGAAUCAUAUUCUCUAGCCUUAAAUCCUGACUACACCACUUAGAUUGAUACAAUCUCCACCAUGCUACUCCUUGUCUGGUAUCCCUUGCCUGGGUAUCAUGCAGAGUAAAUGAGUUAAUACAUAAUAUCCCUGAACAGUUUUAGCCCUGACAUAGAAGUCAACCUCUGCAUACUGAUGCCAGCGCCAUCAUUUCCUCUCUCAAUGAAAUAGUGCAGCAGUCCAAGAUGAUUACAAGAACAAAAGAAGCCAAAAUUAUACAACCGAGUUACUUCUGACUACUUGUUUUAUGCAUUUAUAAAAGUAGAUUAAAUAGCUGUUUAGAAGAGUCAUUAUAACAAUUAUCAGAUAUCUAGUACAGAAUUAAGUUACGUAUUAUAGUUCUUAACACACACACAAAAUCUAUACCAUGGCUCUUACUGCAAUUUCACACAUAAAAGAUACCCCUUUCUCUGCAUCUAUCACAAUUCAGGCAGAUUUCCUUCCCUGACAAUGCAAUGUAUAAAAAAGCACAUGGCAUAACUUGGAAAAACUUAAUAUUACACUAGGAUAUUAGAACAGGAGAUCAAAACAGGGAGCAAGUGAGUGCUACAUCAAAGGAGGGAAAUAAUGCACAGAUCCAGGAAGUUAUAGACUGGUAUAUGGUCUAGAGAACUGAUGUGCUUAGUAAGUAAACAAAGCAGCAACUAGUGUCCUUGAGAACCCCAGAACGCGCUUACCUGACUUGUAACACUGUCUCUCUGACCCCUGUAACACUGUCUCUCUAACCCCUGACAUGCUGAAUGACUUGUUGCCCCUUCCAAAGUCCACAUCUUUGUACAGCCUGUCUUUUUCUGAGUGCUCAGGCAUUAGACACACUCCAGCAUCUCUACCAUCUUUCAUAUAUGUAUAGCAUGUAUAGCACAAGCUAGGAAAGACCUUCAUUCCAAUUAUAUUCAAUUACAUUCCAAUUCUAUCGCUAGAGCUUGGUUCACCAGCAAUUACACUGCAUUUCCCUGUUACCACACGAUACCUAUUUCCCUGUGCCUGAAUUCUUUCGAUUACGUUUUGAGAUUUAAUCAGUUUACUGACAUGUAUAAGUCCCUGAGUGGUGUUCAUUUCUGCUAGCAUGUCACAAUUUAUUUUUAUUUUGUAUUCAUGUGCAACUCUUGAUGCACAUGUGGCUUGCUCCCAGGUCGGGGCUACCUAAGAAAAGGUUUUACAAUCAUUGUAGUCAUGCUUUGUAAAGGUAGCAUACACUUUCAUUUCUCUUGGGUAAAGAAAAAGGGUAAAAUUACUAGGCUUGAUUACAAGUCACAAAGUAGAUACCCUGUUUUACACUCAUAACUAGAUAUACAUUAUCAAUACUCAACUGACUUGUCAAUUCGUAGUAUUCUAAGGUUUUUAUGGGGAACUUGGGGAAAAAUUCUGAGGGUUAGAAACUACUUUUUCAUGUCUUUUUUUGUAGUAGUUAUGUCUGUUUAAAAAAAUUUUUUUAAGGUAGGAUUUCAAGUCUGACUUACAAUCUAGCUAAAACUGGCCUGGAAUACUGCCUUCUUUCUCUGCCUCCAAAGAGCUGGCAUUCUAGGCAAGUGUGUCACAUCCAGAUAGGCUGCUGUCAUUUUAAUCUCCAUUUCCCUUCAAGAAGGCUGUACCUCUCGCCAUAUGUUCCUGGGUCAAACAAAGCUUGUGAAUUGUUUCCUUAGUUUCUCAUCUGAACUCUGGUGUUUUCAAUAAACUUGGUAAGAAAGGUUCUAUAAGUACUUAAUUUAUUUUUACCAGAGAUAUAGAGAAUAUUAGUUUCUUUUCUGUUGCUAUGAUACAACACCAGACCAAGGCAACUGUAGUUCCAGUCCCACCAUCAUGGUGGGGGCAUGGCAGCAGGCAGGAAGGUGUGACAGUAGUGUCUAAUGGAAUGCAAAAGUCUAACUUUUUAUAAGGCACAAUGAUACCUUUUUCUUUUGUCAUUAGAAUAUUUUGCAUCCUAAAAAAUCAACUAUCCACAUUUGGAAAGAUAUUCUGUUUUUUUUUUUCCUAGAAGCAUUGCUGUUCCAGUUUUACAUUAAGUAUACAAUGUAUCUUGAAUUAGUUUGCUUAUAACCAUCUGCAAAAAAAAAAAAGCUUUAUAAGAGAUAACUGAUUCAUAAGUAUUCUGUAGGUCAGAAAACUGUAUUUUCUGAUGGAAAACAGUCUCUAGAAGGGUACAUGUUCAGCCCAGUGACAACCUGUACAGAGAAUACAGAAGCCAAACACAGGAUGAAGGCUUAGAGAGAUGACACUGCAGUUAAUCGGCUUGCUGCUCUCACAGAGGACCCAAGUUCUCAGCAUCCAUGCCAAGAGAAUCACUCCUGCAAAUAACGCCAACUCCAGGGGAUUUAACACACUCUUCAGGAACAUACUCACUCACAUGCACACACAAACACACCCACUAAUAAAAAGGACACACAUACAUUUUAGUCAGGCAUGGUGGUGUACACCUUUAAUUCUACCACUUGGGAAGCUGAAAGGAACAGAUCUCUGAGUCUAGCCUAGCCUACAUACAGCAAGUUCCAGCCAGACAGAGAUACAGUGAGACUUCAU